rnacentral:rRNA from 1 species
UACGAAGGGGGCGAGCGUUGCUCGGAAUCACUGGGCGUAAAGGGCGCGUAGGCGGGUCUUUAAGUCAGGGGUGAAAUCCUGGAGCUCAACUCCAGAACUGCCUUUGAUACUGAAGAUCUUGAGUUCGGGAGAGGUGAGUGGAACUGCGAGUGUAGAGGUGAAAUUCGUAGAUAUUCGCAAGAACACCAGUGGCGAAGGCGGCUCACUGGCCCGAUACUGACGCUGAGGCACGAAAGCGUGGGGAGCAAACAGG